rnacentral:sRNA from 1 species
CUGACAGCCUUGGGCAGCAAAGCCUUCUUAUUCAUCAGCAGAAAAUUUCAGCCUGAACAGUGGGAGCAUAAACUUGUCCACUAAUGUACUUCAGCCUUGACCCUGGAGAAACCCCUCCUGGUAGUACCAAGUAAAUCCAUUUUCUGUAGCCACUCAGUUCCUGGUCAGU